rnacentral:lncRNA from 1 species
AAAGAACGCGCAAGAGCCAAGUCGAAGACAUAUUGCUAUCAACAUCUUUAUAUAUUCAUUAAAGAGUCACAAUAAGGAAGAGUAACACGUUUAGGGGAAAAUGCCAUUUUUGCAUAAUCCAACCAUGAUCGAAGCUGUAUAAUGAACUGAUUUCCUCGAACCCGAAAAAGAAAAAAACAUUUACCAAAAUCAAUAAAACCUCUCGAUAAAUUCCUAAAAAAAUUAUUUUUCACCUUGUUCAUCUGCUGAAAUUCAAAACUUAUACAUUAAAUUGAAGUUCACAAAAUCACUUUGCACGCAAAUAUAAGCACACAUACGCAUAAAAAAAACACACACACACAGUGCAUAUAUAUAUAAUGUGAGUAAAUAUGACCUUUCCAGGAAGAAAAUUGGACUCCAUAUCGACGGAAACAGAGUCGCUGGAGUCCCCCAUUGGUUGGUACCCCCUCUCUUUCGACUUUCUCUCACUAAAAGCUCUCUCUCUCUCUCUCUCUCUCUCAAAUUCGAGAAGCAUUGGAUUCGGCAUCGACAAUAUAUACAAAUCCAGUCUCCCUCUCUCUCUCUUCUCCACAUUGGCCAUUAUGUAUUUUAUAUUUUUGUACGUACCAAAUGUUUAGUAAAUCGAGUUGACUCACAACGUUCACUGAG